rnacentral:tRNA from 1 species
GCCAGUCCUUGAUUUUCCUCAUGGUCCUAACGCACUCGUAAUGCGUAGGUCCGGAGUUCGAAUCUCCGAGGCGGCUCCA